UUCUAAGGCAUGCAAAGGCUCAUCAAGUCUCAAAGCCUGUUUAUGGCGAGACCAGAUGCCAAGCGUGCCAGGAUCUGCUCGACCGCGCGAAGGCGAGCAGAUUCCCAAGUAUUGAAGAAUUUUCUAAGGCAUGCAAAGGCUCAUCAAGUCUCAAAGCCAGUUUAUGGCGAGACCAGAUGCCAAGCGUGCCAGAAUCUGCUCGACCGCGCGAAGGCGAGCAAAAUCCCAAGCAUUGAAGAAUUUUCUAAGGCAUGCAAAGGCUCAUCAAGUCUCAAAGCCUGUUUAUGGCGAGACCAAAUGCCAAGCGUGCCAGAAUCUGCACGACCGCGCGAAGGCGAGCAGAAUCCCAAGCAUUGAAGAAUUUUCUAAGGCAUGCAAACGCUCACAAAGUCUCAAAGCCUGUUUAUGGCGAGACCAGAUGCCAUGCGUGCCAGGAUCUACUCGACCGCGCGAAGUUGAGCAGAAUCCCAAGUAUUGAAGAAUUAUCUAAGGCAUGCAAAGGCUCAUCAAGUUUCAAAGCCUGUUUAUGGCGAGACCAGAUGCCAAGCGUGCCAGGAUCUGCUCGACCGCGCGAAGGCGAGCAGAAUCCCAAGCAUUGAAGAAUUUUCUAAGGCAUGCAAAGGCUCACGAAGUCUCAAAGCCUGUUUAUGGCGAGACUAGAAGCCAAGCGUGCCAGGAUCUGCUCGACCGCGCGAAGGCGAGCAGAAUCCCAAGUAUUGAAGAAUUUUCUAAGGCAUGCAAUGGCUUAUCAAGUCUCAAAGCCUGUUUAUGGCGAGACCAGAUGCCAAGCGUGCCAGGAUCUGCUCGACAGUGCGAAGGCGAGCAGAAUCCCAAGCAUUGAAGAAUUUUCUAAGGCAUGCAAAGCCUCAUCAAGUCUCAAAGCCUGUUUAUGGCUAGACCAGAUGCCAAGCGUGCCAGAAUCAGCACGACCG
rnacentral:lncRNA from 1 species